UCCUACGGGAGGCUGCAGUGGGGAAUUUUGGACAAUGGGGGCAACCCUGAUCCAGCAAUGCCGCGUGAGUGAAGAAGGCCUUCGGGUUGUAAAGCUCUUUUGUCAGGGAAGAAACGGUAGUAGCUAAUAUCUAUUACUAAUGACGGUACCUGAAGAAUAAGCACCGGCUAACUACGUGCCAGCAGCCGCGGUAAUACGUAGGGUGCAAGCGUUAAUCGGAAUUACUGGGCGUAAAGCGUGCGCAGGCGGUUGUGUAAGUCAGAUGUGAAAUCCCCGGGCUCAACCUGGGAAUUGCAUUUGAGACUGCACGGCUAGAGUGUGUCAGAGGGGGGUAGAAUUCCACGUGUAGCAGUGAAAUGCGUAGAUAUGUGGAGGAAUACCGAUGGCGAAGGCAGCCCCCUGGGAUAACACUGACGCUCAUGCACGAAAGCGUGGGGAGCAAACAGGAUUAGAUACCCGGGUAGUC
rnacentral:rRNA from 1 species